ACCCUUAUUCUUGUUUACGGCCGUAUCGCUUUCGUACGAAAGCAGCAGCGGCGUACGAAUGCGAUACGAACGCAUACGAAUACGGUUCGUUCUAACCAAUUCGAGUUUUCGAACAUCGUUGCUUUCGUACGAACGUGCCAUUCUUGUUUACGUACGUAUGCGUAUCCGUAUUCUUUUUGCUCUCGUUCGCAAACGUCAGUCAAAAGUUGCGAAUCGCUAUACGAAUCGCCGGCGCCGGUAGUUUUAUCUCCUUUUUCUACUGUUUGGUGUUAGUUUUUUGACAAAAUUGAAUAAACCGAAGAAUUUGUGUUGUUUCGUGAAGUAUGAGCAAUAUUCUGAAGAACAUUUGUGAAAAUCCAUUUUCAAAAAUCUCCAGUUUUGUAUACGGAAACCGUUUGUCGAAAGUUGCGAAUGGCUACGUAUCGCCGUCGCCACGGUUUUUUUUUCUCGUUUGUUCUGCGGUUUUGUGUCAGUUUUUUAGAGAAAAUAAAUGGAACGAAGACCUAGUUAAAUAAAGUUAGUGCAACAUUUUCAAGGAAAAAAGGUGACAAAUGAUUUUUAAAAGUCCAGUUAGGAAACGAAACAGCAGUCGAAAGUUGCAAAUGACUAUACGAAUCGCCGUCGCCCCAGUUUUUUUGGUUCACUUUCUGUGAAAAGUUUUCUGGCCAUAUCAACAAAAAGUCAACUACCAGGCAGGUUCUGAUUAGCUCAAAAAGUGGAUGGGUAACAGAACACAGGAUAAUUAUUUUAACAUUGUUCAAUUGACACCGAUGCCGAUUUGUAUACUAGGAAUAAGCGAUCAAGAGCUACAGGAAAAUGCAUGAAAUCACGACUCUUCCUCCGGCAACUAUUUAUACAUGCUGUGAUUGAUGACUUUUUUGGACGAAUUAGGCUGUUUCCAACCAUUUUGAAAUUAGCAACAAAAAAGGGGAUCAAGUAUGUAACAUAGCAACCGAUUCCUUCGGAUGUCUCAUAAAACCGCAAGCUACCUUUGAACGCAAUCUCGUCGAAUUAAUAAAAUUAUGUUAUUGAACUGCUGCAUGCUACAAAGAAGAGUUUUAAAAGUUGAUUACGUGUGAUGUUGAUCAAAAAUACCAGUGACGUAUAAUUUAAUUUUAUUUUAUCAGAAAAAUGAUUGAACAAGUAUGCAAAACUAAUGUGAAUAAAUUUUAUUGAUUUUCACAACUGAUUGUUCUUUUUAUCUAGUUAUGAUUUUGAUAGUUUUGAAGCGACGUUAUGAAGCAUUUCGUAUUAUCUCCCGAGAGCGUAAAUUGUUGAUAGUGGUGAAUGGCAUAGGAACGGAAUUGCAAGUUCGAGUUUCUUUCUUGCUUAUUCUGCUCUAAAUUCGAAAUAUGAAUACUUAUAUAUUUUUCAAUUACUAAAAUCACAACAGGUUUCAAUCCUUAUGGACAAAAAUUAAAUAUUCAAAAAGCAACAAUUAAAAAAUCAAGGGG